rnacentral:rRNA from 1 species
AUGAUCACGGGCUCGGCGGUGUACCAAGUGGUGGAGGCGAUGGCGCCGCUGUACACGGCGGCGGCGCUGGGCUACGCGUCGGUGCGGUGGCUCAAGGCCUUCUCCGAGGAGCAGUGCGCGGGGAUCAACCGCUUCGUCGCCACCUACGCCAUGCCGGCGCUCAUCUUCGACAUGGUCUCCACCAGCGACCCCUACGCCAUGAACGGCCGCCUCGUGGCCGCCGACACGCUGCAGAAAGGGGUCAUGCUGCUCGGCCUCGUGGCGUGGGCGGUGCGGUCAUCCCUCCGCCGCCGUGAGACAUCCGCCGGCAAUGUUGCGGCCUCGCCGCUGCAGUGGGUGGUGACCGCCUUCUCCAUGGCGCAGCUGCCCAGCACCAUCAUCAUGGGCGUGCCGAUCCUCGGCGCCCUGUACGGGCCCACGUCCAAGGACUUCAUGAAACAGAUCGUCGUGAUGCAACUCUGUGUCUGGUACAACGUCAUCAUCUUCAUGUACGAGUACAUGGCGGCGAAGGAUGGCAGCAUCAAGGUCGGCCCCGCCCCAGCGUCGCCGGAGAAUGUUGGGAGCACGGAGGUCGCGGCCGCACAACCAGGCAUGGCCGUGGCCAGCCAAACAACGUCGACGGCGGUAGUGGGAGAGGUGAGUCCGACUCAUGCUGCAGAUGCCGAGGUCGCGGAGGCAGAGGAUGUCGCGUUGCCGGCACCUCCAUCGAUGAGCCAUGUCGCUUUUGUGACAGGGAAAAAGAUUCUCAAGAUCCCAAACACACAUGCUGCCUUCCUUGGCCUCUUUUGGGCUCUAAUCGCAUUCAAGCAAGUCCCUUCCUUUCAGAGUUCAUUCAUACUCCACUUGGCAGUAGUUUAG